rnacentral:rRNA from 1 species
UGGGGAAUCUUCCGCAAUGGACGAAAGUCUGACGGAGCAACGCCGCGUGAGUGAAGAAGGUUUUCGGAUCGUAAAGCUCUUUCGUUAGGGACGAACGUGCUCUUUGUGAAUAAUGAGGAGUAAUGACGGUACCUAAAUAAGAAGCCACGGCUAACUACGUGCCAGCAGCCGCGGUAAUACGUAGGUGGCAAGCGUUGUCCGGAAUUAUUGGGCGUAAAGCGCGCGCAGGCGGGAUGUCAAGUCUGUCUUAAAAGUGCGAGGCUCAACCUCGUGAGGGGACGGAAACUGGUAUUCUUGAGUGUCGGAGAGGAAAGUGGAAUUCCAAGUGUAGCGGUGAAAUGCGUAGAGAUUUGGAAGAACACCAGUGGCGAAGGCGACUUUCUGGAUGAUGUCUGACGCUGAGGCGCGAAAGCUAGGGGAGCGAACGGG